UGAAGGCCUGAGAACCAGGGAAGCCAGGGGUGGAAAUUCCAAUAGAAAGGUUUGAUAUCUACAUGCAAUUGCUGAUUCCUGUUAGGGUUGCCUCUGCCUCUGGACCUCUUGAUGGGACAGUUCGUGGAGUAGUUUUAUUAUUGAGGGUACUAUUUGUUUAUGCCAUAUUAUUUUUUGUUUGUCUCUGAUUUGUUUUAACAUCAGCGAUGUGGCAAUGAGGGUACUGUCUUCAAAUUCUUGAUUGCUUAUGCAGUUACAUGUUUUU
rnacentral:lncRNA from 1 species